rnacentral:rRNA from 1 species
AAGUUUAUUAUAUGUUGCCCGUACCGUAAACCGACACAGGUGGGUGGGAUGAGUAUUCUAAGGCGCGUGGAAGAACCCUCUUUAAGGAACUCUGCAAAAUAGCACCGUAUCUUCGGUAUAAGGUGUGCCUACUUUGGUAUAGAAACUUGCUUUCAAAAGCUAGAGAGGUUGCAACAAAGAGUCCCUCCCGACUGUUUACCAAAAACACAGCACUUUGCUAACACGUAAGUGGAUGUAUAAGGUGUGACGCCUGCCCGGUGCUCGAAGGUUAAUUGAUGAUGUCAGCGCAAGCGAAGCAUUUGAUCGAAGCCCGAGUAAACGGCGGCCGUAACAAUAACGGUCCUAAGGUAGCGAAAUUCCUUGUCAGUUAAAUACUGACCUGCAUGAAUGGCGUAACGAGAUGGGAGCUGUCUCAAAGAGGGAUCCAGUGAAAUUGUAGUGGAGGUGAAAAUUCCUCCUACCCGCGGAAAGACGGAAAGACCCCGUGCACCUUUACUACAGCUUGACACUGUAGCUUGGAUAUUCAUGUGCAGGAUAGGUGGGAGGCUAUGAUGACUAGACGCAAGUAGAGUCGGAGCCAUCCUUGAGAUACCACCCUUGAAUAUUUGAGUUACUAACUGCGAUGAGUUAUCCUCAUUCAGGACAAUGUCUGGUGGGUAGUUUGACUGGGGCGGUCGCCUCCUAAAUAGUAACGGAGGCUUACAAAGGUUAGUUCAAAGCGGUUGGAAAUCGCUUGUUGAGUAUAAUGGCAUAAACUAGCUUGACUGUGAGACCUACAAGUCGAACAGAGACGAAAGUCGGUCAUAGUGAUCCGGUGGUUCUGCGUGGAAGGGCCAUCGCUCAAAGGAUAAAAGGUACGCCGGGGAUAACAGGCUGAUCUCCCCCAAGAGCUCACAUCGACGGGGAGGUUUGGCACCUCGAUGUCGGCUCAUCGCAUCCUGGGGCUGUAGUCGGUCCCAAGGGUAUGGCUGUUCGCCAUUUAAAGCGGUACGCGAGCUGGGUUCAGAACGUCGUGAGACAGUUCGGUCCCUAUCUUCCGUGGGCGUAGGAAAGUUGAAGAGAUUUGUCCCUAGUACGAGAGGACCGGGAUGAACCAACCACUGGUGUACCAAUUGUUCUGCCAAGAGCAUCGUUGGGUAGCCACGUUGGGAUGUGAUAAGAGCUGAAAGCAUCUAAGCUCGAAGCCAACUCUAAGAUGAACUUUCCCUGAAGUUCCCAGCAAGACUAGCUGGUUGAUAGGCUGGAUGUGUAAUGGGUGUAAGCCCUUUAGCUUACCAGUACUAAUAGAACGUUUGGCU